UACGAAGGGGGCUAGCGUUGCUCGGAAUCACUGGGCGUAAAGCGCACGUAGGCGGCUUGUUAAGUCAGGGGUGAAAUCCUGGAGCUCAACUCCAGAACUGCCUUUGAUACUGGCGAGCUUGAGUUCGGGAGAGGUGAGUGGAACUGCGAGUGUAGAGGUGAAAUUCGUAGAUAUUCGCAAGAACACCAGUGGCGAAGGCGGCUCACUGGCCCGGUACUGACGCUGAGGUGCGAAAGCUAGGGGAGCAAACGGG
rnacentral:rRNA from 1 species